rnacentral:rRNA from 1 species
AUGGAGGCGCAACUGUCUCGGCCCCUGAUGGCACUGCGGCUCAUCUUCCUCCUCUGCUUCUUCUCCGCUCUGGCACGCUGCUGCCGUUUCCUCGCCGCCGAGGCGGCUCCAACGCUGGUGACCAGGCUUCCAGGGUUGGAUGGAGCCCUCCCGUUCCGGCUUGAGACCGGGCACGUGUUCCUGGUCAGGCACGUACGUUCUUGGACACACUGCAAGCAACUGCACUUUGUCCAUGGCAGGUACGUGAUCGUGGACGAGGAGAAGGGCUCGGAGCUGUUCUACUACUUCAUCGAGUCGGAGGGCGACCCACGGCGCGACCCGGUCGUCCUCUGGCUCACCGGCGGUGACCGCUGCAGCGUGCUCCGCGCGUUGCUGUUCGAGAUAGGCCCGUUAAAAAUAAUUGGCGAGCCCUACAAUGGUACCAUACCACGGCUGCGGUACCAUCCUUACUCAUGGACCAAAGUUGCCAGCAUCCUGUUCGUCGACUCGCCCGUCGGCGCCGGGUUUUCCUUCUCCAGGAAUCCCACAGGCUAUCAUGUUGGAGAAGUCUCUUCUUCGCUGCAGCUCAAAAAGUUCCUCACCAAGUGGUCCACUGAGCAUCCAUAUUACAUCGCAAAUCAUUUCUACAUCGGAGGAGACUCGGCCGGUGGAAAGAUCGUUCCAUUUCUCGCGCAGAAGAUCUCAGAAGAUAUUGAAGCUAGGGUGAGGCCGUUAAUUAAUCUUAAGGGCUAUCUGGUCGGCAACCCGGGCACCGGUGAAAGCAUCGAUUUUGAAUCGAGAGUGCCAUUUCUUCAUGGAAUGGGAAUAAUUUCAGACCAGUUGUACGAGACGAUAAUGGAGCACUGCCAUGGGGAAGUUUAUACCAACCCCAAGACUGCGCUUUGCGCUCAAGCUUCUGACAGGUUCGAUCGACUGUAUGAUGAAAUCUAUCGACCACACAUUUUGUUUAAAAAGUGUGUCUAUGCGUCUUCCGGAACAAACGACGGGAGCAUAGAAAGAAAGAUCCUAAAGGAGGAAACAGGAGUAUUGAAACAUCCACCUCCUCGUCUUCCAAUGGAUUGCCAUAACUAUGGUACUUACCUAUCAUAUUUUUGGGCUAACAACAACAUCACCAGGGAUGCCCUUGGGAUCAAGAAGGGAAGCAAGGAUGAAUGGGUGAGGUGCCAUGAAGGAGAUCUACCCUAUUCUUUUGACAUCAAGAGCACAAUAAAGUACCAUCGUAAUAUGACGUUAAAAGGUUAUCCUGCCUUAGUAUAUAGUGGAGACCAUGAUUCUGCUGUGCCGUUUCUGGGUACACAGUCUUGGGUGCGAUCACUCAAUUUCCCCAUUGUGGACGAGUGGAGGGCUUGGCAUCUAGAUGGACAGUCCGCAGGAUUCACCAUAACAUACACAAAUAACCUGACGUUUGCUACGGUGAAGGGUGGAGGACACACUGCGCCAGAGUUCCAACCAGAGAGAUGUCUCGCGAUGUUCAGGCGUUGGGUUUGCCGUGAACCGCUCUAA